rfam:Cricetulus griseus cell line CHO-K1, whole genome shotgun sequence.
UGGCUCAGUGGUUAAGAGCACUGGCUGCUUCUCCAGAGGACUUGGGUUCAAUUCCCAG